AUUGAACGCUAGCGGGAUGCUUUACACAUGCAAGUCGAACGAGUGGCGGACGGGUGAGUAACAUAUCGGAACGUGCCCAGUAGCGGGGGAUAACUACUCGAAAGAGUGGUUAAUACCGCAUUCUAUUGGAGUGGCCGAUAUCGGAUUAGCUAGUUGGUGGGGUAAAGGCUCACCAAGGCCACGAUCCGUAGCCGGUUUGAGAGGACGACCAGCCACACUGGGACUGGGACACGGCCCAGACUCUUACGGGCGGCAGCAGUGGGGAAUUUUGGACAAUGGGGGAAGCCCUGAUCCAGCCAUCCCGCGUGUAUGAGAAGGCCUUCGGGUUGUAAAGUACUUUUGGCAGAGAAGCGGUAUCUGCAGAAUAAGCACCGGCUAACUACGUGCCAGCAGCCGCGGUAAUAC
rnacentral:rRNA from 1 species